GUACACGAUGAUGUUAAUGAGAUGAGAUCAUGGAAACCUGCAAAAGAGGACAUAAUACAUUAAAACAAUCUGAGACAAUGCAAUAGAUUCAUCACUAAAGUGAGCCACCUGAACCAAUCAAAGAAGUUUAUGAGAGGUUUUGGUUUUAAAUCUCUACUAAGUUUCAUAGAAAGAAAGACAAGCUAUCUCUCUUUCCUGACCAUGCAAACUCAAAGGGUCUAGAGACCCAUCAGGCCUCAUACUCCAGAAGAGCAAAGCGUCCCUCUUCUUUGGCAGAACAGAGAGUCCUUCUUUACCGCAUUGUGAGAGCUCGUUCCACCAUGGGACAUCACUAAUAUUUCCUUUGGCCAAAGGGAAAACUGUCUCGCCACCUUCAUCAACAUCCGAGCUAAGGUACAUAAGGACAGUGGCUACUCGUUGCCCUCCCCUUUUGACGUUGAACUCAUCUGUGAAAUAGUCAUGGUGAGGCUCAUAUUUUUGCCCAACUUCAUAAUGUAGAACU